UUCCCCUAUGUGACUCAUCGCUCUAUCUUUCUCUACCGUCAGCUCACUCUCGCGCUCGGCUAUGGAUCUCUCUCUCUCUCUCUCUCUCUCGAUCUCAGCUUUUGUUUAAUAUUGGAAGGGCAUUAAUUUAUUCUCCAAUUGAUUUUCUCCGUCUCGUCUCUGGUGAUUCAGUUCAUUCUUUCUGAGAAGGGGUCAGGGUUUUCUUGCUGCUAGUAGGGAUUUGGUUUCAGAAAGGAGGGCUAGUUAUGGAGAUGGGAAGACAAUGGUCAUUUAACUUGGCAAAUGCUUUGGAAUCUCACACAAAGGACAAGCACAGUGCUGGAAAAUAAAUGGAUUUAAAGAGAGAGCUUCUUAUGAAUCCUGAUUGGAAAAUCUACGCUUAGUCUAUUAGGUGUCUUCACAAUGGGGGUUUGUAAUCAGUCUAAAUUAAUCAAAGCAUGAUUAAGUGUACAGGGUAUCUUGAUACCCUUGAAAACGGCAUCUGAAGAAUGCUGAAUUUCUUAAUGCUACUGCUUGGUUCAUGUAUGGUCCAGCUGUGUUCUCAAAGGUUUUGAAACCUCCACCAUGGCUCUUGUUGCCUGAUAUCACCGUCUUGUUCAUGCCAUCCCCAACAAAUGUUAUAUUUGUUUUUUGUUCUCCAACGAAAAUGUUCUCUCUAUAGAAGCCUUCUUUGAUUUUUAUGUAGUAUCUACGUUUACUGUAGUUAGGGGCUGCAAGAAUGGCAUCUGCGAUUCUUGUGAAAUUCCCUGAUCCAUCUUGUGCAACUGUAGUGUCAAUGGGCAUGGACUUCCCUAGUGAACUCCACCAGAGAGUGAUCAACACAGUGAGUGCCAACAUUGUUUUUCUCUUUAGUAAAAGGGUUUUAUGUGUUUGUUUCAGAGAAGUUUAUCAAAAGUGUUUCUAUGGUGUGAAAGGCUCGUGUAACAUAAAGGAGUGAAUAGCUUGUAAAGAAUGAGUAGUAUUUAUAAGCAAAACUUGCUGUUGAGUUCCUAACAAGGAGUAUUUUUCUAGGUCCAACUGAGAUUGAGUUGCACACGUUAAGGGUAACAUUCUUGUCUCAUUUGAUCUAACUCAUUACUACAAUAUAACUAGUAGAGAACUCUAAUAAAUAGAACAGUUGGCAGCUUUGUAUCAAUAUAGUUAUUAGGAAACUCUAGUGGUUUGGUUACUUGGCAAUUUUUGUCUAGCUAGCUGAAACAAACUCUUAGAUUGGGAUGUGUCACAUUAUCAUAAUUAUUGUAUUUUUUUUGUGUUGAGAAAAUAGUAUACAAACAUAAUUUUUAUACAAAAAAAAAGUACAUAUACAUAAUGGGGAAAUAUAAAAUAAAAAAAAAGGGAAAUAUCAAAAUAAUUGCAAAUUCAUAAAAGUAGAACAUUAUUUGCACAAUUCAAUGCACAAAUCACUUUUACUUUCAUGAGUUUGCAAUUAUUUUUUCAACUUCCCACUUUUUUGACAUUCCCGGUAGUAGUACUUUUGAAAUUAUGAGCAGAAAGGUGGGUCGUUUUGAUUUAAAAUGAAAGCACCACAAAAGGCCAUAUCUUUUUUUGUGUUAAAAUUUUACACAAAAAUUAUGCUUGUAUGACAUUAUUCUAAUUUUAUAGUAGUCGCAAAUCCCCUGACUCCAUUCAAUUCGAGAUGAUGUGCUCCAUUGAGCUAUGAUGUGAUGAUUUUGGCAUCACUUAAUCUUCUCUACAAACAUGAUCUGACGUGUUGUUAUUUCUUCACUCUUUAUUUCUUUCUUUUGUUUUUUUAAACAUUUUCUUGUUAAUUUUUAUUUUUGGGAGGGGGUUUGCACUCUGAGUCUUAUUCUUUAUUUCUUUCUCUUCUUGAUUUUUAUUGCUCACUUAGUAGGCUUUGUUCCAAAUUAGGCUUAAUUUCCCUUGACAAUUUGCUGGGCAAUGUCACUCCUAGCUGAACUUGUGGGCUGCCAUUAUCCAAAACUGAACUUGUGGCCAAAUGCAUAGCCCGUAUACUUCGGGCCACCUAUUUUUUAGGAAAAUGGCAAAGGGUGUCCAUCACAACUCAUCAAUAGUCUAAUAGGAACCAACACUAUUGAAGAGUGUUUGUAUAAUAAAUAAUCGAUUCUGGGAAAGAAUGGCAAGAUAGUCAUGAGCUAUUGGUUGUUUAGAAGAAUUUGACAAAUUGAUUGAACAAUGGCUUUAAAAGAGAGUAAGAGAGUUCUAUCCAAAUGCAAGAAACAUCAAAAGCUGAAGCCAUUCACUUUGAUUUGAUAUAUUAAUUUUGAUCUCUUCUAAGAAGAAAAAUACAACUUUGACACUAUGAUUUGGAGCCAUUUCUAUUGUUAUGGGGUUUAAAUAGUCAAUUCACAAGUUUGUGUAAUACAAGCAAUGCCCAUUUCCACCUUGUUAAUAUUCUUGGAAAUAUUUAUUGUUUUUGUUCCAUGUUAACUUUUCCUAGUUUUGGAUGAGUGUAU